UACGUAGGGUGCGAGCGUUGUCCGGAAUUACUGGGCGUAAAGAGCUCGUAGGUGGUUUGUCGCGUUGUUCGUGAAAACUCACAGCUCAACUGUGGGCGUGCGGGCGAUACGGGCAGACUGGAGUACUGCAGGGGAGACUGGAAUUCCUGGUGUAGCGGUGGAAUGCGCAGAUAUCAGGAGGAACACCGAUGGCGAAGGCAGGUCUCUGGGCCAUAACUGACGCUGGAGACGCGAAAGCGUGGGGAGCGAACAGG
rnacentral:rRNA from 1 species